UACGUAGGGACCAAGCGUUGUUCGGAUUUACUGGGCGUAAAGGGCGCGUAGGCGGCAAAUUAAGUCAGCUGUGAAAUCUCCGAGCUUAACUCGGAACUGUCAGCUGAUACUGAUGUGCUAGAGUGCGGAAGGGGCAAUCGGAAUUCUUGGUGUAGCGGUGAAAUGCGUAGAUAUCAAGAGGAACACCUGAGGUGAAGACGGGUAGCUGGGUUCACAUUGACGCUGAGGCUCGAAAGCAUGGGGAGCAAACAGG
rnacentral:rRNA from 1 species